AUAUCAAAAUUUUACAAGUUUUCCAUCAUUCUCAUAUUUCAUUUGUAGUAUAUAUAUGAAUGCUGUGUGGUUACGUCAUUAUGUAUGUACAAUAUACACCCAUGGUCAUCUGUUCCUAAGUAACUUAAUAAAAUGCAACACAAGUUAUUUUGUCGUAUACUAGUAUAUUCUGUAUGCAUUUUUUGUUACCAUAGAUGCACGUAAAGUAAACACGUAGAUAAAUGUG